GGUCCCUAUCCGUCGCGGGCGUUGGAAAUUUGAGAGGAGCUGUCCUUAGUACGAGAGGACCGGGAUGGACUUACCGCUGGUGUACCAGUUGUCUCGCCAGAGGCAUCGCUGGGUAGCUAUGUAGGGAAGGGAUAAACGCUGAAAGCAUCUAAGUGUGAAGCCCACCUCAAGAUGAGAUUUCCCAUUUCUUUAAGAAAGUAAGAUCCCUGAGAGAUGAUCAGGUAGAUAGGUCAGAAGUGGAAGGCCAGUGAUGGUUGGAGCGGACUGAUACUAAUCGAUCGAGGACUUAACCAC
rnacentral:rRNA from 1 species